UGAGGAAUCUUGCGCAAUGGGGGAAACCCUGACGCAGCAACGCCGCGUGAGUGAGGAAGGUCUUCGGAUCGUAAAGCUCUGUCAGUUGGAAAGAAAUGUCUGAGAGUCAAUCCCUUUCAGGCUUGACGGUACCAACAGAGGAAGCACCGGCUAACUCCGUGCCAGCAGCCGCGGUAAUACGGGGGGUGCAAGCGUUGUCCGGAAUUAUUGGGCGUAAAGAGCGUGUAGGCGGCCGGAUAUGUCAGAUGUGAAAGCCCCGGGCUUAACCCGGGAAGUGCAGUUGAAACUGUCCGGCUCGAGUAGGGGAGAGGGAAGUGGAAUUCCUGGUGUAGAGGUGAAAUUCGUAGAUAUCAGGAGGAACACCGGUGGCGAAGGCGACUUCCUGGCCCUAUACUGACGCUGAGACGCGAGAGCGUGGGUAGCAAACAG
rnacentral:rRNA from 1 species